rnacentral:rRNA from 1 species
UUAAAUUGAAGAGUUUGAUCAUGGCUCAGAUUGAACGCUGGCGGCAGGCCUAACACAUGCAAGUCGAACGGUAGCACAGAGAGCUUGCUCUAGG